rnacentral:rRNA from 1 species
GACGAACGCUGGCGGCGUGCUUAACACAUGCAAGUCGAACGGAGUGGCGAACGGGUGAGUAACAAGUGGGUGAUCUGCAUUGCACUUCGGGAUAAGCUUGGGAACCUUGGUCUAAUACCGGUUAGUGCAAGAUGUGCUCGGGGCCUAUCAGCUUGUUGGUGGGGUAAUGGCCUACCAAGGCGACGACGGGUAGCCGGCCUGAGAGGGGGUACGGCCACAUUGGGACUGAGAUACGGCGCAGACUGCUACGGGGGGCAGCAGUGGGGAAUAUUGCGCAAUGGGCGGAAGCCUGUUGCAGCGACGCCGGGUGGGUGAUGAAGGCCUUCGGGUUGUAAACUCCUUACGACAGGGACGCGGUACCUGUAUAAGAAGCACCGGCUAACUACGUGCCAGCAGCCGCGGUAAUAC